AAAUAAGAUUGGUCAGGUGUCAUGUGAUCAAUUAGUCUAAAGUCAAGCAACCAUCUAUGAGAUUCAGGUCUAUUUCCUAUAGAUAUAAAACCUAAUAAGACUAGGGUGAAUGAAUAUUUGAGGUUUCAAUGAUCUUCACCUGAAUUUGUUGGACAUGGGGGGUGACAAACUUGAUUUAGGGGUUAAAUAUGUCAUUGUGAUGUAACUAAGUUCAUGCAAAUAACAUUUAUAAAACCUCAAUCUUCAAUUUAGGAUGAGUAAGGGUUGAUCUUCAAGGAGUGUAGAUAAUGAGAGUAUGAAUUUCACUUAUAUUAUUUCUUAUAUAUAUACUUAUAUAUAAUCUAGAUGAUAAUGGGUGAGAUUAAAUGUGAUAAUGGUGAAGAUAAGAGGAAUAUAGAAGGUGAUGAUGAUGAGAGAAUGGAUAGAACAUGAUAGAAUGAUAGAAUAAAUGAUGAAAUUAGUUCAAACUAAGAGUUAAUCUAUCCAUUGAGAUGAUUUCAAGGACCCCCCAAAUCUAGAUCUUGCACAAACCUCGUUGUGUGCUAGUCUUAAGUUGAGCAAUAUUUGAUCCGUAAUGAUCUU
rnacentral:lncRNA from 1 species